CUGAGAAGAAUGGAGCCAACAAAAAAAGGAAAACCUCUCCCAUCUGGGAGUAAUUUAAACUGUGUUCUCAAAACAAGUUGAAGUGUUUGUUGUGUGCCAGAGAGCUGGUAUACAAUAAUAACACCUCAUCAAUGCUUAGGCAUUUCAGAGCCAUAUAU